AACGCGAAGAACCUUACCUGGGCUUGACAUGUGAGUGACAGGUGUGGAAACACACCCUCCCUUCGGGGCACUUUCACAGGUGGUGCAUGGCUGUCGUCAGCUCGUGUCGUGAGAUGUUGGGUUAAGUCCCGCAACGAGCGCAACCCCCGUCGCAUGUUGCCAGCAUUCAGUUGGGGACUCAUGCGAGACUGCCGGUGACAAACCGGAGGAAGGUGGGGAUGACGUCAAGUCCUCAUGCCCCUUAUGUCCAGGGCGACACACGUGCUACAUUGGCGCGUACAGAGGGCUGCGAUACCGCGAGGUGGAGCGAAUCCCUUAAAGCGCGUCUCGGUUCGGAUUGCAGGCUGAAAUUCGCCUGCAUGAAGGCGGAGUUGCUAGUAAUCGCGGAUCAGCACUGCCGCGGUGAAUACGUUCCCGGGCCUUGUA
rnacentral:rRNA from 1 species